rnacentral:rRNA from 1 species
UGGGGAAUUUUGGACAAUGGGCGAAAGCCUGAUCCAGCAAUGCCGCGUGUGUGAAGAAGGCCUUCGGGUUGUAAAGCACUUUUGUCCGGAAAGAAAUCCUUGGCUCUAAUACAGUCGGGGGAUGACGGUACCGGAAGAAUAAGCACCGGCUAACUACGUGCCAGCAGCCGCGGUAAUACGUAGGGUGCAAGCGUUAAUCGGAAUUACUGGGCGUAAAGCGUGCGCAGGCGGUUUGCUAAGACCGAUGUGAAAUCCCCGGGCUCAACCUGGGAACUGCAUUGGUGACUGGCAGGCUAGAGUAUGGCAGAGGGGGGUAGAAUUCCACGUGUAGCAGUGAAAUGCGUAGAGAUGUGGAGGAAUACCGAUGGCGAAGGCAGCCCCCUGGGCCAAUACUGACGCUCAUGCACGAAAGCGUGGGGAGCAAACAGGAUUAGAUACCCUGGUAGUCCACGCCCUAAACGAUGUCAACUAGUUGUUGGGGGAUUCAUUUCCUUAGUAACGUAGCUAACGCGUGAAGUUGACCGCCUGGGGG